rnacentral:tRNA from 1 species
GCCGAGAUAGCUCAGCUGGUAGAGCAUUUGUCUGAAGAACAAAGGGUCCCCAGUCCGAACCUGGGUCUCGGCACCA